GCGAGUCGAGAGGGUUCGGCCCUCGGCUGACGGCUCAGUAACACGUGGAUAAUCUGCCCUUAGGUGGAGGAUACCCUCGGGAAACUGAGAAUAAUACUCCAUAGGUCUAGGAUGCUGGAAUGCAUCUAGACUUAAAGCUCCGGCGCCUAAGGAUGAGUCUGCGGACUAUCAGGUUGUAGUCAGGGUAAUGACCUGACUAGCCUACGACGGAUACGGGUUGUGAGAGCAAUAACCCGGAGAUGAUAUCUGAGACACGAUAUCAGGCCCUACGGGGCGCAGCAGGCGCGAAAACUUCACAAUGUGCGAAAGCGCGAUGAGGGAAUCCCAAGUGCUUGCUCGUAAGAGUAAGCUGUUUUUAUGUUUAAAACGCAUAGAGAGUAAGAGCUGGGUAAGACGGGUGCCAGCCGCCGCGGUAAUACCUGCAGCUCGAGUGGUGGCCGCUAUUAUUGGGCCUAAAACGUCCGUAGCCGGUUUAUUAAAUGCCUGGGUAAAUCGUGUAGCUUAACUAUACGAAUUCCGGGUAGACUGUUAAACUUGAGACCGGGAGAAGCUAGAAGUACUCCUGGGGUAGAGGUGAAAUUCUGUAAUCCUAGGGGGACCACCAGUGGCGAAGGCGUCUAGCUAGAACGGGUUUGACGGUGAGGGACGAAGCCCUGGGGCGCAAACCGGAUUAGAUACCCGGGUAGUCCAGGGUGUAAACGCUGCUUGCUUGAUGUUAGUCGGGCUCCGAGCCCGAUUAGUGUCGG
rnacentral:rRNA from 1 species